AGAGUGUGAUGUUCCCCUUCUUGUGUCCAUGUGAUCUCAUUGUUCAAUUCCCACCUAAGAGUGAGAAUAUGCGGUGUUUGGUUUUUUGUUCUUGCGAUAGUUUACUGAGAAUGAUGAUUUCCAAUUUCAUCCAUAUCGCUACAAAGGACAUGAACUCAUCAUUUUUUAUGGCUGCAUAGUAUUCCAUGGUGUAUAUGUGCCACAUUUUCUUAAUCCAGUCUAUCGCUGCUAUAAAGACACAUGCACACGUAUGUUUAUUGUGGCAUUAUUCACAAUAGCAAAGACUUGGAACCAACCCAAAUGUCCAACAAUGAGAGACUGGAUUAAGAAUUAUGUAUUCUGGAUACUGGACCCUUAUCAGAUGUAUUUGCAAAUGUUUCCCAUUGUGUAAGUUUUUACUUUCUUUGCAGUGUCCUUUGAUGUAAAAAUAGUUUAAACUUUUGAUGGAGACCAAUUUAUCUGUUUUUUCUUUGAUUGCUUAUGCUUUUAGUGUCAUACCUGAGAAUCCAUGAUCAAAUUCAAGGUCAUUGGGAUUUACCCCUAUGUUUUCUGAGUUUAUCUGAUGACACUUUUGUGGAAUAAAAGUGCUCCGAUGUGAGAAUAUAUACAGUCAUGUGCAGUGGGCUUAUGGAGUGCUUGCUCCAGAAGCAUGAAAUCACACUCAACUUAGCAUCUAACCAGGAGAUAGCCCCAUGACUGUGGUCAUUGACCAUAUCACAUAAUUCAUGAUCCAGGAUCAACCAGCCUGAUAGUGUUGGAAUAGCCUGCUAAAAGCACAUUUGAAGCACCAGCACAGAGGCAAUACCCAUGACAGUGGGGUGCCAUUUUCCUGAAUGCCACAUGCACAUUGAAUUUGAAUUUGAAACUUCUAUAGAGUAUUGUGUUCCCAAAAGGAAAAACUAAUCGGCCUGGGAAAAGAGAGAUGAAAACAGGAGUGGCCUCAUUUACCAUCACUCCCAGUGACUCACUAUGGAUUUUGUGCUUCCCAUCCUUACAGUUUGGGGUUCUGCUUGAUUACCAUUCUGAUCUCCAAAGGAGGCUUAUUCUUAUCUGGGGCAGAGCAAGGGUUUUAUUGAACUACAAGCUGUGGCUGCUGUUGAGGCAUUUUGGAGUCUUUAAGCACCAAGCGGGCAGGAAGGAGUUGCCCUUUUUGCAGGGGUAAUUUAUCCUGAUAAAAAGGUAUGUAGGGCUGUUAUUACACAAUAGAAAUAGGAAUAUGUAUGAAACUCAGGUGAUCCACAUGGGCACCUUUGUGGUAAUUCCUUGUCCAAUUAUGACUGUGGAUGGACAAGUGCAGUGACCCCCACCUGAAAAAGUUACUGUUGUCUUGGUUUCAGACCCUUCAAGAAUGAGUGUGUGGGUCACACCACCAGAUAAUUCACCCAGACCUGCAAAGGUAGGUGAUAGCUGCUAAGACAAUUCAGAAUGGAUGGUUGGAGAGAGAGAUGAAUACCAGUUGUGGCCCCAAGACCAACUGCAGUGAUGUGGCUGAGUUUGACCCACUAACCUUUCUUUUUUAAAAGUCUUACCCUCAGGAUGAGAGGCCCACUGAGGAGUAGCUCCCAGGAUAUGCAUGGAGAAGUGGAUUGAUUUGGUACAAGGGGUGAAAAGUGGCAGUUAUGAAGUGUGCUAUUUAGAUCUCCAAAAGAUAACCAUCCACAGGGAGUGCAGUUAUCUGACAGCACCAGUUGCAGAUACCCUCAGGAUCUUCCUUCAGUGUCCACACCAAUGAGCUGAGGCCAUUCAUUCUGGGCAGUCCACAGGCAAUGACUGCACAUGGUGUUGGUAUCAGGGCUCAUCGUUUCCAGCUAGUGUGAGACUCCUCCUCUAUGGGCAGUCUUGGUGUUGGAGCUCACUGCUAAAUUGGUUGAGACUUUCUCAGAAUGAGCACAGUCUGAGGCUCUUCCUACCUAAUCUUACUUCUCCUUUCAUGUGAGUCAAACCUAUAUCAGGGGCAGAAAUAUUUUUUUUCCUGCUUGUGCUCUCUCUCCUCUUUAUAUUUUAUAGGCAUUAUCUCCAACAAACAUCUCGUACUUUGAACUGCAUCUUGGCUUCUUCUUUCCAAAGGACCUCCUCUCCCAGACUUGCAUCAUCAUCACUGGUAGAUGAUAACUUAGGCUUGAAUAAAUUAAGUGGCUCACCUCAGGUCCCACAAAUGUUAAAUGGACUAUUUUUUCACAAUACUUAUUCUCAUACUGAAUAAUAUCCAUGAAAUCACGCAAUUGAUGUGCAAGUUAUAAUUCCCUAAUUCACAUUGAAAGUAUAACUAACUAUUAAAUUUAAAAUAAAAAACAAGACUAAGUCUGGUCAACUUAGUUAUCCCACACUGGAAAAGUACAUAAUAUCACAUUUUUUUUUUGUUGAGAAUUUGUUUGUUCUAUGAAAGCAUAUUUGGCCAAGAGUUAAUUUUUGAGAUUUAGUCAAUGUAGUCAUUCUGAAGAAAUGGAGUACCUAUCGUCUUACUGAGAAACCAAUUUCAAUGCUUAUGGCUGCCAGCCUGUGUUAGACACAUCCAUCAAAACAGCAAAGGAGAUAGUCCAGUUUUAUGCCCUCCAAGCCAAUAUUCUAUUCCUAUGGCCUCUAAAAUGGAGUAUGUGUACUUAAAGAAAUAUGCAAGAUAAUACACAGAGUGACAAAGGAAAUAUUUUAACUAUUUUGUGAACAUAAAAUUAAACUUUUACUAAUAGGUUGGUGCAAAAGGAAUUGCAGCUUUUGCCAUUACAUUCAAUAGCAAAAACCACAAUUACUUUUGAACCAACCAAAUACUUAAAAUAGGCGGACACCAGUUCAUAUAUUCCACAUGCAUAAACUAUGUAUGCUCAAAAAUGGAGACAACUGUUAAAACCUGCUGUCUAAAAUUAACAAAACACAAGCCUUCCAUUCUAGUGGAGAAGAGGACAAAUAUAAUAAAUUAAUGCUAUAUGCAUAUACACUAUACAUAAAGUAUGUCCUAAGAGCUAUGGAGAAAAAUGUAGAAAAGGAGAACAGGGAGUGCUAGUGUGAGAUUCAAGAUUAAAUGUGGUUCUGAGGUAGGACCUCACUGUAAAGGUGAUGACUAAGCAAAGACCCAAAGAGGGUGAGAAAGCCAGCUCUGUAGGUAACUUGAGAAAAAAGUGCUCCAGAGAGAGGAACUAGGAUUGUCCUUUUGCUAGGGGCACAGCCUAAUAAAAGUAUAACUAACGUCCUUUUUUGUUACAAAGCUGGACAUUCAAAACAUUAAACAUAUUAUAACCAAUUUUUGCCAGAGGUUGCAAGUGUUUUUUGUGAAAAAUCAGACCUUGGCGAUGACCUUGAGCAGUAGGAUAUAAAUAACUCCCACAAGCUUAAUGUUCCAAUAAUGGAACACUAGGCAUAGAUAGGUUAAAGAUCAUUGCUAUCCCCAUACUCUGGACCCCUGCCUGAUGAAUACAUUAAGCUGACACCUGAGACACUGAUUCACCAAUUAACAAACUUCAGGCAUGUUGUUAAUGAUAGAACCUUCAUGACAGUGAUCCAGAGUUCCAGAUUCUAGAGUAUUCAGAGGUGGAAAUUCAUAGUCCAUGCUCAAGAUCGAAUGGCAUCUCUCAGACUGGAAGACCUUUCUGAAGUCAGUUCCAGACAUCCCUGGAAGGCUGGAUAAUUUGGGAAAAGGCUGACUCAAUGUAAGAAAGACUUCCCUGGCCAGGUGCCAUCCCUCGGUGCUUCCACGGUUACUGACGCGUGUAUUCUCCACAGCAAUUACAACUGGAUCAAAAUCAUGGAUCUACAUGCCCAUUUCACCCACUAGACUGUGACGUCAGAGUCGGUGACAUUGCCUUCAACAUCUCCGUAUGCUCAUUACCCAGGGUGGUGCUUUCUACAGAAGGUCCUCAAUCCAUCCUCCUUGAAAUGAAUGGAAACCAACCGGCAUGUGUAAUGAAUGGUUCCAAAAGAGAAUGCUCUAGGAGUGCAGCUUGGGAUGCUAGGAACACACUCCGGUCUGGAGCCCAGCUCACUCCCUGGUUCAUGGUGGAUGUCCAAAAAUAGGCAUGAAAACGAGUGAAGCGAGAAUAUGUACUUCUCAAUUCUCAAGUUAUUAUUGGUGACACCCACCACCUAGUACCAGAUCUCAGGAGGCUGAGAUGGAAAGUUAUGGGAAACUUUGUACCUCUUGCCAGUUGAAUUCAUGACACCCAAUUUUAAAUCUUUUUUCGGCCCCAAAUUUGCCCACAUGACCUAUUUCUAUUGUAACUGCCACUGGAACUUUUGACCAGGGUAAAUCUUGUGCCUUCUUCCAGUGCCUCCUGCUCCCCUCAUCAGUCCCCAUCUGUCCUCUAACCAUGCUGACUUCUGUCCAAACUGCUUCUGGACUGGCCCUGGCAUAGACCUGCAUUAGAGAUGCAAGGCAGCAAGGUGUUUAUUUAUUUAGUUAGUUAGGAAAACAGAACAAAUUCUGGGAUGUAAUGAGAAAUGACAUACACAUAAGAGGCUUAUGACCAAAAUACGUUAAUACUCAUUGCAAAAGAAGUUCUACUUUUUAGCUUUACAUUUGAAGGCUUUAAAAAUAUGUCUGAGAGUGCUAUAGAGAGUUAUACUUUCUUCCUCCCCAUGUGACCUAAACCUCCAAUUCAGCUGCUUAAAUAGCUGACACCGACCCUAAAAUGGAAAGCUCAUAUUACAGAGGAGAAAUAUGUUCUGGUUCUUUUUAUUCUUCUUUAUAAUAAUUCCUCUCGAUUUUGAAAAUUCCCUUUUCAUGUUUGCAGGUAACUAGUUAUCACUUUUAGUUUAAAGCUGUUCCUGCGUGCCAAUGCCCUGAUAUUGGCCAGACCCGUAUAAAUCACUGCCUCUUUCCUUUCUUUUUACCUUCCUCCUUCUCAUAGCUAUUAUACAGAAGUUGAGAUUGUUAUAUAUGUUGUCUAUAAAAGGAUAUGGUACUCUUAUAUAAAAUAGAACACUUAGGAAAUUCAAGUUAAAGUGCAGAAACCUGGAGAAGAAUUAUGGCAGUUUACAUGUUGGGCAAGAUUUAAGAGGGCAUCUACUCCCAAGCUGCCCUUCUCCACUCCAGCCAAUGUCUCCAGACUAUUUUCACAUACUGCUCAGUUUGUACUAUAGAACAAACAAGUAGCAUUUGUUAAGUACUGCAUGUGCAUGAUACUGGGUAUGCCAACCUGGUUCCUGUCCUUUGUCAUUACAGGGUCAUUUCUAUUCAGCCAUAUCACUGCAAAUACACCAUGUCCACAGCUCCUACCACCACGUACAACAUUUCUAUCAGGCUCUACAAAACAAAUCUCUUCUCUAUGACUUUUUCCUUUGGAGCUCAAGGUGAAUCUUUUCAGCUACUUGGUUUAAAGUUUUCCAUAUUUCAGUUCUUCGUAUUUUUUUUUAAAGGACUGCCAGUCGGAGCAAAUGAUUGUUGAUAAUAAUCUCUGGCAGGGGCAUUGGUUUAUUUUCCCUUAUGAAACUUUAAAGGUUAUUUAUUUAUUCAUUUAUUAUUUUGGGGAUGUAGUUUCGCUCUUAUUUCCCAGGCUGGAGGGUGAUGGUGCGAUCUUGGCUCACUGCAACUCUGCCUCCCAGGUUCAAGCAAUUCUCCUGCCACGGCCUCCCAAGUAGCUGGGAUUACAGUCAUGUGCCACCACACCUGGCUAAUUUUGUAUUUUUAGUAGAGAUGGGGGUUUCACCAUGUUGGUCAGGCUGGUCUUGAACUCCUGACCUCAGGUGAUCCACCUGCUUCAGCCUCCCAAAGUGCUAGGAUUACAGGCAUGAGCCACUGCACCCGGCCUAAAGAUUCUUUUAAUGUGGAUGAAGAUUUUUAAUCCAGAGGCAAAGGAAAAAAAAUACCUACAGUUUUAAAACCCAUUUAGGGGACAACUAUGUCCAUGGACAGCUCCCUCUUGCACACUGCAAAUAAGCAAUGUCCCUUCACAGUCAACAUUUUCCAGGCAAUAAACUCUAUACAUCAGAACAUAUACAUGUUACUAGUCCAAAGUCAAAGCUCUCAGUUGAAAAUAACCUGAAGUCCCUUUCAUAGAUUUAUCUGCAUGACUGAACCUGCCUCCCCUAAAGUCCCUCCCUCACAAUCAUCCUUUCAUUAACAUUUGUUUUUCUGGCAUAAUUCCUCUGAGUUACAUCUUAUAUUUAAGUUUAGUCUAGGUAUCACUUUGGGGCAAGUCAAACUUUACAUACUUAAUUGACUUCCCAAACCUCAAACCUCUCUCUCUCCUUCUCCAUCCUUCUUUCAUUGGUUCUAUUUCAGGUUCUUUUCAUCCCUUAUCUAAACUAUUGCAAUAAGCCCCCUAACUGCUCUUCCUGCCUUCAGUCCCUUUGUUUUACAACCAAACUUCAUCACUCAAAGGUUUCUAAGACACAAGCUGGAUCAAGUUUCUCUCUGUCCUUCACAGCUUUCCAUCAGACAAUAAAUCCAAUGCCUUGGCCUAGCAUUUCUCAGCAAACCAGAACCUGAGUCCUACCUGCUGUUUUUCCUUUUUCUGCCACGGCCCACCAAAAUCUCACAACUGACAGAACGUUCUUGCCAUUGUCCUUCUUGUCUCUGUGUUUGUACGUGUCCUUGUUUCUACCUGGAAUUCUCUUUCCCAUUUUCUAAUGAACCAUGGCUCAUUAUUGAAGGCUAACCUCAAAUGUCCCCACCUCAUUAAAGCUGCCUGUUCUGACCUCUCCAGAAGUCAGAUGUACUCUAUCCUGCUGUUCCACAAUACUUUUUAUAAACCUAUAUUAGCACUUCAUACACAGCAUGGUAAUUCUUUCUUGACUUUAUAUUCCACCAAACAGUAAUUUCUUUUAAGGGCAGGAGCCAUGUUAGUUACUCUAUUUUCAGGGCAUAAAAGAAGGCUUGAUGCAUAGUAUGUUCUUAAUUAUAAGCUGAGUAAAUGAAAAUUACUAUGGCAUCCAAAACACUGCAGUUAGAAGCAUGUGAAUAAGAAUCCUAGAGUAUCUCCCACAAAGAUAAAUGUGAAUGAAUAACUUGGGGAAUAUAAGUAGUUUCUUAAACACUAAAACUGCAAAAUAAAAC
rnacentral:lncRNA from 1 species